UCAUUCUUAUUAAUGUAGAAUAAAUUGUCGAAACUCAAUUAGAUUCAACCACAAUUGGGGAAAAGGGUACUUUGUGAGUUGGUUCUCAAAACGGUUGAUUUUGGUCGACAAUCUUUGGAAGAGCUUCAUCCGAAAAUGCUACUUCUGAAUGAAUCAAAGCUGAGAACAUGAUGUUGUCUACAGAUCUGUGAGAAGCUAUAUCUAGAAGGGGUCAAGAGGAAAUAACAGGAUCAGCAUUUACUGGGCCAAUUGGGAAAGAAUGUAGCCAGGGAUUGCUAGUGCCGCAAAUCUUGUUGUUUAGUUUCCUGAAAGUUAAUUAGUCCAUUUAUUUGCAUCGAAAAUUUUGGUUUCUGUCUUUAUUUUUGAGCAAAAAAGAAUGACUGUUAUAGGCUAGUGAAAUAUUGGACGAGUUGUGUAACUUUUGCUUGGUUAAUUGACAUUG